UUCUUCUUCCCCUCCACAUCUGGGAGUGCAUGUGGAGUGAGGAACCUGCAGACAGAAGGUGGAGGACUGAGCUCGCCGAUGGAGACCGAUGCGGAAUUUUAAGCAGAAGUUGAAAACAAGCCGAGUUGGAAAGAAAGUGCGGGAGGCUUAAAUCUGUGAGGACCUGAACGCACCGCCAAACGAAUGCUACGCACCUGCUGAUGCGGGGGCGUCUGUGGGCGGUUAAAGGUUCGUCUCCAGACUCGGACUCGUUGGUUCUGCUCUGACGUCGUUUCAAAAUGUGACCGGACCGGCGCCGAUGGACAAACUUGGAUGAGAACCCGUUUCCCGACCCCCGACCUCAGCGUGGGGAUUCUACGCCCCCCGUGACGUCUGACAGGCUGCGUGGCGAUCAGCUCACAGCCGUCGCCGCUCUCACCGGAGCGAUGGAGGUAUUCUCGGGCCUCAAGUGGAGCUCCUGUGUG